GACGCAGCCGUGUCUGGUGCCGUACAAGGGACGCCGGCGCAGGAUGCUGUCGUCGUCCGUUCCUAACGCUGCUGAGUUGAGCUGCAGGUGUUCCUUGAUGCUACAUAUGUCAGUUUCUUUUGGCAUGAUGUACAUCUGGUGGUCGUCAAGUCAAGGAACCUUCUCUUCUUGCUGCGACAAUCCUCCUCCCGCUGCUCUGCUCUGCUCAACAGCUAGCGUGCAUGGCUAAAACAAAGGUAAGACUCUGGCCGGUCGGUGUGUUGAGCCAUGGUGGUCUGUUUGUGGGGGUCAUCAACAUUGGUAUAGGUUAGCAUGUGCCCUUCAAUCAGUGCACGGUGAUGAAACGCUUCAUUUGAUGAUGACGACUGGUUCCAGAUCUGCACCUCUUGUUUGUUAAUUUGGCUCAUGUAUGUUGUCGUGUCUGCGAAAGAUGCAACCUGAGUGCUUUUCUUGUCCUUAAGUUUAAUAAACGAGGAACAACAUUCAGAUCGUGCUCCAUGGCACGCAUCAGCUAUUGUGUUUGUAAUGUUUGAGUUUGCUCCAUCAUCGA